rnacentral:piRNA from 1 species
UAAAAUAAGACUUCAUGAAUUAUCAGGCA